rnacentral:rRNA from 1 species
GACGAACGCUGGCGGCGUGCUUAACACAUGCAAGUCGAACGGAAAGGCCCUGCGUUUUUGCGGUGCUCGAGUGCCACACGUGUGAGUCACACGUGAGUAACCUGCCCUUGACUUUGGGAUAACUUCAGGAAACUGGGGCUAAUACCGGAUAGGAGCUCCUGCUGCAUGGUGGGGGUUGGAAAGUUUCGGCGGUUGGGCAUGGACUCGCGGCUUAUCAGCUUGUUGGUGGGGUAGUGGCUCACCAAGGCUUUGACGGGUAGCCGGCCUGAGAGGGUGACCGGCCCCAUAGGGACUGGGAAAGCGCCCAGACUACCACGGGGGGAAGGAGCGGGGAGCAUUGCACGACGGGCGGCAUCCUGAGGGAGAAACGCCGCGUGGGGAAUGACGGCUUUCGGGUGGGAAACGGCUUUAGCGUGUGACGAAGCGUGAGUAGCGGUCAUGGUGAAUGAAGCACCGCUAAACUCAGU